rnacentral:tRNA from 1 species
AAGAAUUUAGUUAAAUAAUAACAUUAGAUUGUCAAACUAAAAUUAUUUUCAAAUAAUAAUUCUUA